GGUUGAAAGGACCAACAGAAGCAUAGUGGAAGGCAUCAAAACAAGAUUGGGGAGAUAUGAAAGUAAUUGGCUGGAAGAAUUGCCUAGCGUUCUAUGGGCAAUCAGAACAACAGAAAAAGCAAGGAGGAGCAAGAUGACUAAGAGCAUCCUCACAAACGGCAGCAUCCUUGAAAGUAUCAUCAUUCUUCACUUGCCAAGCAGGCACAUAAACACCUUCAGGGUCCAACCCUCCAGCGUCCCUGCUUGAAGAUUCUUGAACAGGAAUAACCUUCUUACCUCGAACCUUCUUGCCAUGAACA
rnacentral:lncRNA from 1 species